GACGAACGCUGGCGGCGUGCUUAACACAUGCAAGUCGAACGGAAAGGCCCCCUUGUGGGGUACUCGAGUGGCGAACGGGUGAGUAACACGUGAGUAACCUACCCUUGACUUUGGGAUAACUUCAGGAAACUGGGGCUAAUACCGGAUAGGAGCUCCUGCUGCAUGGUGGGGGUUGGAAAGUUUCGGCGGUUGGGGAUGGACUCGCGGCUUAUCAGCUUGUUGGUGGGGUAGUGGCUCACCAAGGCUUUGACGGGUAGCCGGCCUGAGAGGGUGACCGGCCACAUUGGGACUGAGAUACGGCCCAGACUCCUACGGGAGGCAGCAGUGGGGAAUAUUGCACAAUGGGCGGAAGCCUGACGCAGCAACGCCGCGUGCGGGAUGACGGCCUUCGGGUUGUAAACCGCUUUCGCCUGUGACGAAGCGUGAGUGACGGUAAUGGGUAAAGAAACACCGGCUAACUACGU
rnacentral:rRNA from 1 species